rnacentral:rRNA from 1 species
AUGAAGCCGGAAUCGCUAGUAAUCGCGGAUCAGAAUGCCGCGGUGAAUACGUUCCCGGGUCUUGUACACACCGCCCGUCACACCAUGGGAGUCGGAAAUGCCCGAAGCCGGUGACCCAGCCCGAAAGGGAGGGAGCCGUCGAAGGCAGGUCGGAUGACUGGGGUGAAGUCGUAACAAGGUACC